rnacentral:RNase_P_RNA from 1 species
CGGCCCAGGCGAAUGCUGGUUUAACCAGAGGAAAGUCCAUGCUCGCACAUCCUGUGAUGGAUGUAGUGAUUGCGCUAGGUUAAUCAAUAAACCUAGGCACGCCCGGAGUGCGUGACGGCGUGAGGAAAGUCUCUUUGAGAUGAUUCUCCCCAAGGUGCCACAGAGACGAGCUUGUUGGCGACAACAAGGUGAAACGCGGUAAACCCCACAAG